rnacentral:rRNA from 1 species
GGGUGACGAGCGGCGGACGGGUGAGUAAUGUCUGGGAAACUGCCCGAUGGAGGGGGAUAACCACUGGAAACGGUGGCUAAUACCGCAUAACGUCUACGGACCAAAGAGGGGGACCUUCGGGCCUCUUGCCAUCGGAUGUGCCCAGAUGGGAUUAGCUAGUAGGUGGGGUAACGGCUCACCUAGGCGACGAUCCCUAGCUGGUCUGAGAGGAUGACCAGCCACACUGGAACUGAGACACGGUCCAGACUCCUACGGGAGGCAGCAGUGGGGAAUAUUGCACAAUGGGCGCAAGCCUGAUGCAGCCAUGCCGCGUGUGUGAAGAAGGCCUUCGGGUUGUAAAGCACUUUCAGCGAGGAGGAAGGCCAAUAACUUAAUACGCUGUUGGAUUGACGUUACUCGCAGAAGAAGCACCGGCUAACUCCGUGCCAGCAGCCGCGGUAAUACGGAGGGUGCAAGCGUUAAUCGGAAUUACUGGGCGUAAAGCGCACGCAGGCGGUUUGUUAAGUCAGAUGUGAAAUCCCCGCGCUUAACGUGGGAACUGCAUUUGACACUGGCAAGCUAGAGUCUCGUAGAGGGGGGUAGAAUUCCAGGUGUAGCGGUGAAAUGCGUAGAGAUCUGGAGGAAUACCGGGUGGCGCAGGCGGCCCACCUGGACUGAAGACUGACGCUCAG